rnacentral:rRNA from 1 species
UUGAGAGUUUGAUCCUGGCUCAGAACGAACGCUGGCGGCAUGCCUAACACAUGCAAGUCGAACGAGCCCUUCGGGGUUAGUGGCGCACGGGUGCGUAACGCGUGGGAAUCUGCCCUUGGGUUCGGAAUAACUCGCCGAAAGGCGUGCUAAUACCGGAUGAUGUCGAAAGACCAAAGAUUUAUCGCCCAAGGAUGAGCCCGCGUAAGAUUAGGUAGUUGGUGAGGUAAAGGCUCACCAAGCCGACGAUCUUUAGCUGGUCUGAGAGGAUGAUCAGCCACACUGGGACUGAGACACGGCCCAGACUCCUACGGGAGGCAGCAGUGGGGAAUAUUGGACAAUGGGCGAAAGCCUGAUCCAGCAAUGCCGCGUGAGUGAUGAAGGCCUUAGGGUUGUAAAGCUCUUUUACCCGGGAUGAUAAUGACAGUACCGGGAGAAUAAGCUCCGGCUAACUCCGUGCCAGCAGCCGCGGUAAUACGGAGGGAGCUAGCGUUGUUCGGAAUUACUGGGCGUAAAGCGCACGUAGGCGGCUUUGUAAGUCAGAGGUGAAAGCCUGGAGCUCAACUCCAGAACUGCCUUUGAGACUGCAUCGCUUGAAUCCAGGAGAGGUGAGUGGAAUUCCGAGUGUAGAGGUGAAAUUCGUAGA